CCCAUUUCCUCUGAUUCCAUCCCACAAUAAUUGAACAGCUUUUGUGCAAAGAAAGGAACAAGUGGGUCUCCUUCCUUCUUAUCUCCAUCGUGCCUGGGCUCAGCUCUGAAAGAAGAAAGUUCUUUUCCAGGUGAAUCUACAUGAUAGAGUGGAAGCCACAAAGGAAGAAGAAGAAGAGAUUCUAUCUGGGUAUGGAGAAUGAAAAAAAAAAAAGGUGUAAAGAGGGGUCUGGCUCUGUCAUCCAGGCUGGAGUGCAGUGACUCAAUCAUGGCUCACUGCAGCCUUAACUUCCGGACCUCAGGUGAUUCUCCCACCUCAGCCUGUCAAGUAGCUGGGACUACAGGUACACACCAUCAUUCACAGCUAAUUAUUUUGUUUUUUUUUUUUUUUAAAUAAAGACAGGGUUUCACCAUGUUGCCCAGGCUGGUCUCGAACUCAAGAACUGAGCUCAAGCAAUCUGCCUGCCUCCAUCUCCCAGACUGCUGGGACUACAGGUGCAAGCCACUGCACCCGGCUACUUUUUAAUUUUUCAAAAUACUGCAUUAAGAGUAUUUAUCUUGGCUGGGCGCGGUGGCUCACGCCUGUAAUCCCAG
rnacentral:lncRNA from 10 species